CUAAGGGAAGUCUGAACAACAGCCAGAUUGAAAGUAGAUAGUUUUAAUAAGGAGGAAUAUGAAUCUGAGCAGGCUCUCUGGACAGUAGUUGCAGUCAGUUUGUUGUUGAUCUGCACUGUAUUCCCGAACAGUAUAACCUACUUAUUAAAAAUAAGUAAACUGCACUCAAAACUGCAAAAAAGUUAAUUCAACUUUAAACUUUUAGGUGUGUUCAACGUUUUGGCCGUUUUAACUACCAAAACUCAAAUAAAAUAAGUAAAACAGACUUAAUCUUAUAGCCUCAUCUUCGCCUGUUGGUGGCGAUAAUGAGCUUUAUUAUUCAAUAUUCCAAUUAAACAAAGAAGAGUUUCUACUCCGUGCACUUUAUUUGCCUAUUUUAAAACAUACUAGGUUAAAUCUCUCCAAAACAGAACGAGUCAACAGGUAGACUAUCAUGCCAUGUCAGUUUAUUUAAUGUUUUACACAAAUGACUUGUAAAUUCGUUUUACUCUGUUGUUAAUUUUUCAUCUGAAAAUGAGCGCUCGGAUUUGAACUUGAAGCCUCGUCAACUGGUGAGUUUUGCGUUUAUCUCCAACUGUGAACAAUAGACCUCAGAUUGGUUAUGUCCAUAGUAAUAAUGUCGAUAAUAAUAUAAUCGUUCUUACUACGUGAUGUUCUCGGUGUAAAAACAAAGAUAAGUGAUUUCAUUGUAAACACAAAAGUGCAUUUAACAAAGUUUUAAAAUACUUGUUGUUUUGCCAUCCGAACUCGUCCUACAAAAUGGCUGUUAAAAACCACUGUUGCGAGUUAUCUGAGCGACUUUAUCCGCUUGAACGAGCAUUUUAAUAUCUUUUACUUUUUUUUUUUUUAAACACAAGUUUGCAAAAUUCACGAAUCUGCGGCCGAUUGGACACUGCUGUUACACGCAAAAAGUCACCAGUUAACGUGAAAACCAGAAAACCCGCCAAGUCACGCAGGAUUCGUCGCUUCAGUGUGGUUCUGUGGAAUCUUUCAUCAUCUUCAUUGCUUCUGUGGUUGCUGCAGGUUUUUUUUAUCAGCUAUUAUCUGGUAAGUACUUUAUAAAAUCAUUUUAGAAAAUAUUUCAAGUACUGUGCAUCAUAAUGUGAUGGUAUAUUCAUCAAACUGAAACGAGUUACUUGUUGCAUAUGUAGCUAAUAGACCUAAUAAAACGAUCAGAUACGCUUUACACUGCAAUGUUAUUUGUAGUGUGAUUAACUAAAUUUAAACAAUAUAGGGACAGUAUUGAUAUAUGCACGAAUUAAAUCCUAGCAGAUGUGUAGAAUUAAAUUAGCUGUAAUUGAAGUCAAAUGUUCCCUAUUCUGAAAUUGUUGUAACGCUAUGUCUUUGACGUGUCUCUGCCUCACUAUUAAUGUUUUUGUUGUCUUUUUCUACACAGUUUAAAGUUUGACACCAGAGCAAAUGUGCAAAACUUACAUUUUGGAAUUUGGGGCUGGAGAUACAUUUUGAUGGAUUGGAAGUGCAGGUUAUGCGAUUCCUCCUCACCUACCCGAGCAGGGUUACUUAGGCAUUAUGGUUUGCAUCAUAGCCAUUUUUCAAAGCAGAUAAUCUUGCAGCUCACGGAUUGGCAGGCUUUGUACAGUCAUUUCGUUCUGAGUAUGUGUGCAGAUUCUGUCUGGCAACUCAAGACCAGUUUAAAUCGCAGGAAGUUGCUGAGGGUGAAUUCAGUCUGAGAACUAAGCAUAAAAGGCCAGUUGCUGUUGACACCAAAGCGAUUUCUACCAUUACAAUAAGAUGGCGGAAUCCCAGAAACUUGUACUGAGAGUUUACAUUGCUCCUGACAUUGCCCACAAGAUGACCCUUUCUACACGCCCAAGUACAGUAGAAGAGUUGAUUACAGUGAUUAAAGAGAAAUUCAGACCUCGUCUUGAUUUUGAUUUCAGCCUCCAAUAUGAAGACCCAGACUUUGGGGGGGAACUCUGCUUUCUAACAGACAUUUCAGAACUGCCGGAGAAAGCUGUAUUGAAAGUACACAGAUCUGAGACUGAAGCCAGCUCAACUGCAACUUCAGACACCGAAAUACUUCCUUAUAACCCGGAACGCUCGCAAAGUUGGCCUGGCGUGUUCCCAGUUCCUCGAUUUUCAUAUGAUGUCGAGUACAGGCUAGAAGCUGGAAAUGCAAUCUAUGAAAACAGUGGAAAGUUCUUGAAAUUAACAAAAGGCCAAAAACAUGACAUUCUCGAAAAUAUGGCCAAGGCAAUGCACAGCUUUAAGGCUUACCCCAGCGACAAAGAAGUAGCUAAAGCUGCUGAUGCUCUUGUUUCUCAGCACCCCUGCCUCAGAGAACCAGGAAGUCAAUGUGGUUGGUAUGGCUGGAAGACAAGUUUAAAGUUUAAGAUGGGCAACUAUCGCUUAAAACUCAGCAGAUCUGGUUGUGAAGAGGUGGCUGUGAACUCAGGAAAGAGAAGCCAAAGUAACCAAGAGAGUGAGUGUCCUCACUCAAACAUCAAAAAGCUCGUCGAGCUGAGGUAAACUACCUACCCAAUUUUCCAAAAGGAGAGAAUGCUGAAAGCUUGGAAAAACAAAGAUUGCAAAUAAUUGAGGAAGUGUCUAAGACCGAAAGAAACCAUGGGCUGAUAGAGAGACUCAUGCAAAGUACCUUUGCUCUGCGUCAUAAACAGAUAGUGGUUGAUAACCCAUCACAACCAGUGAAGUCAUUUUUGGAAAAGUGGCCUGCUCUUCGUUUGGAAUCUCAGAUUGCUGCAGAAUUCCACAGAAUUACUAAUAUCAGUUUGAAGAACAAGUUCUAUGCAGAGCUGGACAAACAUACCCUUCAAUUGUUGGCUGUUUACAGGCAGAAGGCCGCCCGCACUGGCAAGGCAGCAGAAGCACUGAGAAGAAUCUUUAGUGCCUAUGAUCGUCUGGAGCCAAACGAUAUUAACAACAGACGUACAGCUGCACUUCGAGGCCUCCCUGUGUACUUGCGUGAAGAUGACUCUUUGUUUUUCAAGAUGUGGAAUACUGAAGAGGUGGAUGAGCCAGACAUUGCAGAUUCAGCCGUAGCUCUUGUCAGCAUGGUGAAUGGCGACUCAAGUUCCACUGUUCAGUUUGACCCUGCUGGGUUUGCCAUUGCGCUGGAAGGUGACAUUGUUCUGAGGGACAUUUGCAGGUUGGCUGAUGCUUUUCUUUUGAUGUUUGGUUUGAUAUAUGCAUUACAUCUCGACUAUCCAAAAGAGCUGACCCACACCUUCAACUUCAUCCAAAAAGUCCUACUAGGCUUGGUAGACUCAAAGCCACUUGCACCCAGGUUGCUGAGUCUAAAAAAUGAUCUCCUGAUUAAGGAGUAGGAGGAAUGGAUGUAUGUGCUCAGUACAAUGUAUUUUCUGUUCUUUUCCAUUUUUUGACUAAUGUCGUUACACAAUUUAAACACUGAGCUGAAGGUUUGAAAAUUGUCAGUGACGUACAGAUUUUUACGUUCAUUUCAUUAUUCAUUGGGAUUGCAUUCCUGGAAAACACUAGCACCCAGAUUGCUGUCUAAAAAUUGUUUGUUUACUUCAGAGAUAUUCUGCAUCUCUGGAUGCAAAAGAGAUUUAUUAUUGAUAAAUAUUUAUUGACUUUGAUUUCAUUUGUUGUGACUAAUAUUGUCAUAGUCUGUUGUAAUACUUCUUAAAUGUUACAACUUUCCAGAACACAGAUUUUGUUCACUUGGUAUUUAAUGGGAUUGCAUUACUGAAAGCCACUAGCACAUACUAGUUACAUUCUACAGAGCUCAGGUUGUAAUGCAGAGCUCAGAAAACUGUGCCCUUUGUGCAAUGACUCUGAUUUCUUUUAAAAGACAACAGUGUAAACACUUCUGAAAUUACUUUUGAAAUGUGCUAACUUUUAUAUGGUAUACGUCUACUUUUU